GUGUAUGUGUGUGUCUGUGUGUGUAUGUCAGUAUGUCUGUCAUAGACACACACAGACAUACUGACAUACAUACACAAACAGACAU